AUGCGAUAAGUAAUGUGAAUUGCAGAAUUCAGUGAAUCAUCGAAUCUUUUAACGCACCUUGCUCUCCUUGGUAUUCCUUGGAGCAUGCCUGUUUGAGUAUCAUGAAAUCUUCAAAGUAAAUCUUUUGUUAACUCAAUUGGUUUCUACUUUGGUAUUGGAGGUCUUUGCAGCUUCACACCUGCUCCUCUUUGUUCAUUAGCUGGAUCUCAGUGUUAUGCUUGGUUCCACUCGGCGUGAUAAGUUAUCUAUCGCUGAGGACACUGUAAAAGGUGGCCAAGGUAAAUGCAGAUGAACCGCUUCUAAUAGUCCAUUGACUUGGACAAUACUUUUAUGAUCUGAUCUCAAAUCAGGUAGGACUACCCGCUGAACUUAAGC
rnacentral:misc_RNA from 1 species